rnacentral:rRNA from 1 species
GGGUUGUGAGGUUAAGCGACUAAGCGUACACGGUGGAUGCCCUGGCAGUCAGAGGCGAUGAAGGACGUGCUAAUCUGCGAUAAGCGUCGGUAAGGUGAUAUGAACCGUUAUAACCGGCGAUUUCCGAAUGGGGAAACCCAGUGUGAUUCGUCACACUAUCAUUAACUGAAUCCAUAGGUUAAUGAGGCGAACCGGGGGAACUGAAACAUCUAAGUACCCCGAGGAAAAGAAAUCAACCGAGAUUCCCCCAGUAGCGGCGAGCGAACGGGGAGCAGCCCAGAGCCUGAAUCAGUGUGUGUGUUAGUGGAAGCGUCUGGAAAGGCGCGCGAUACAGGGUGACAGCCCCGUACACAAAAAUGCACAUACUGUGAGCUCGAUGAGUAGGGCGGGACACGUGGUAUCCUGUCUGAAUAUGGGGGGACCAUCCUCCAAGGCUAAAUACUCCUGACUGACCGAUAGUGAACCAGUACCGUGAGGGAAAGGCGAAAAGAACCCCGGCGAGGGGAGUGAAAAAGAACCUGAAACCGUGUACGUACAAGCAGUGGGAGCACAGAGCAAUCUGUGUGACUGCGUACCUUUUGUAUAAUGGGUCAGCGACUUAUAUUCUGUAGCAAGGUUAACCGAAUAGGGGAGCCGAAGGGAAACCGAGUCUUAACUGGGCGUUAAGUUGCAGGGUAUAGACCCGAAACCCGGUGAUCUAGCCAUGGGCAGGUUGAAGGUUGGGUAACACUAACUGGAGGACCGAACCGACUAAUGUUGAAAAAUUAGCGGAUGACUUGUGGCUGGGGGUGAAAGGCCAAUCAAACCGGGAGAUAGCUGGUUCUCCCCGAAAGCUAUUUAGGUAGCGCCUCGUGAAUUCAUCUCCGGGGGUAGAGCACUGUUUCGGCAAGGGGGUCAUCCCGACUUACCAACCCGAUGCAAACUGCGAAUACCGGAGAAUGUUAUCACGGGAGACACACGGCGGGUGCUAACGUCCGUCGUGAAGAGGGAAACAACCCAGACCGCCAGCUAAGGUCCCAAAGUCAUGGUUAAGUGGGAAACGAUGUGGGAAGGCCCAGACAGCCAGGAUGUUGGCUUAGAAGCAGCCAUCAUUUAAAGAAAGCGUAAUAGCUCACUGGUCGAGUCGGCCUGCGCGGAAGAUGUAACGGGGCUAAACCAUGCACCGAAGCUGCGGCAGCGACGCUGAUGCGUUGUUGGGUAGGGGAGCGUUCUGUAAGCCUGCGAAGGUGUGCUGUGAGGCAUGCUGGAGGUAUCAGAAGUGCGAAUGCUGACAUAAGUAACGAUAAAGCGGGUGAAAAGCCCGCUCGCCGGAAGACCAAGGGUUCCUGUCCAACGUUAAUCGGGGCAGGGUGAGUCGACCCCUAAGGCGAGGCCGAAAGGCGUAGUCGAUGGGAAACAGGUUAAUAUUCCUGUACUUGGUGUUACUGCGAAGGGGGGACGGAGAAGGCUAUGUUGGCCGGGCGACGGUUGUCCCGGUUUAAGCGUGUAGGCUGGUUUUCCAGGCAAAUCCGGAAAAUCAAGGCUGAGGCGUGAUGACGAGGCACUACGGUGCUGAAGCAACAAAUGCCCUGCUUCCAGGAAAAGCCUCUAAGCAUCAGGUAACAUCAAAUCGUACCCCAAACCGACACAGGUGGUCAGGUAGAGAAUACCAAGGCGCUUGAGAGAACUCGGGUGAAGGAACUAGGCAAAAUGGUGCCGUAACUUCGGGAGAAGGCACGCUGAUAUGUAGGUGAAGUCCCUCGCGGAUGGAGCUGAAAUCAGUCGAAGAUACCAGCUGGCUGCAACUGUUUAUUAAAAACACAGCACUGUGCAAACACGAAAGUGGACGUAUACGGUGUGACGCCUGCCCGGUGCCGGAAGGUUAAUUGAUGGGGUCAGCGCAAGCGAAGCUCUUGAUCGAAGCCCCGGUAAACGGCGGCCGUAACUAUAACGGUCCUAAGGUAGCGAAAUUCCUUGUCGGGUAAGUUCCGACCUGCACGAAUGGCGUAAUGAUGGCCAGGCUGUCUCCACCCGAGACUCAGUGAAAUUGAACUCGCUGUGAAGAUGCAGUGUACCCGCGGCAAGACGGAAAGACCCCGUGAACCUUUACUAUAGCUUGACACUGAACAUUGAGCCUUGAUGUGUAGGAUAGGUGGGAGGCUUUGAAGUGUGGACGCCAGUCUGCAUGGAGCCGACCUUGAAAUACCACCCUUUAAUGUUUGAUGUUCUAACGUGGACCCGUGAUCCGGGUUGCGGACAGUGUCUGGUGGGUAGUUUGACUGGGGCGGUCUCCUCCUAAAGAGUAACGGAGGAGCACGAAGGUUGGCUAAUCCUGGUCGGACAUCAGGAGGUUAGUGCAAUGGCAUAAGCCAGCUUGACUGCGAGCGUGACGGCGCGAGCAGGUGCGAAAGCAGGUCAUAGUGAUCCGGUGGUUCUGAAUGGAAGGGCCAUCGCUCAACGGAUAAAAGGUACUCCGGGGAUAACAGGCUGAUACCGCCCAAGAGUUCAUAUCGACGGCGGUGUUUGGCACCUCGAUGUCGGCUCAUCACAUCCUGGGGCUGAAGUAGGUCCCAAGGGUAUGGCUGUUCGCCAUUUAAAGUGGUACGCGAGCUGGGUUUAGAACGUCGUGAGACAGUUCGGUCCCUAUCUGCCGUGGGCGCUGGAGAACUGAGGGGGGCUGCUCCUAGUACGAGAGGACCGGAGUGGACGCAUCACUGGUGUUCGGGUUGUCAUGCCAAUGGCACUGCCCGGUAGCUAAAUGCGGAAGAGAUAAGUGCUGAAAGCAUCUAAGCACGAAACUUGCCCCGAGAUGAGUUCUCCCUGACUCCUUGAGAGUCCUGAAGGAACGUUGAAGACGACGACGUUGAUAGGCCGGGUGUGUAAGCGCAGCGAUGCGUUGAGCUAACCGGUACUAAUGAACCGUGAGGCUUAACCUUACAACGCCGAAGCUGUU